rnacentral:rRNA from 1 species
UUUCAAUCCACCCCCCUGCCUCCUUUCUUUCCCACAUCCAUCCAUCGAUCCCCUUCCAUCCCCUCGCUCAGCUUCAGUCUUCUGUCAUCGUCCUCCCCAUCUCACAUCUGCAUCGCGCCGCCCCUCCUCCCAAAUCCCGUCCGGCGCCGCCGCACCCCACACCCGCUGCUGCCCCCACUCCUCUAGUGCCAUCUCCCUCCUCAUCGAGGGCCGAUACCUCAUCGUCCAGCCACUCUAGCGCCGCCUCCCUCCCCAUCGACCAGCGCCUCAUUGGCCGUCCAGUGCAGCCACCAUGCCUCCAACGCCAGUCUCCCACCCCACCGAGCGCCGAGCCCUCGCCACCCAGCACCGCCCACCUCCCCAUCAAGCACCUCCCCAUCAAGCACCGCCGAGAUUCUGGGAGAGACCCCCGCCGCGAUGCCGAGAAGGUGGCAGGUCUGGGGCCGGCCUGACGGUAGCCAAGUCUGGGUCCCCGCCCCCGACCCCGACGCGCCGCCCCCGCCGCCGCCCGCCGCCGCCCCGCCUCUUCCUCCACCGGGGCGCGCCGCGGGGACAGCCGCCGCUUCAUUCGAGGAAGCGCUGGUCAAAGGCCGGGGUGCUGCCGACGGAUGCCGUGUCGAGUCCAUGGCCAACCACCUCGUCCAAGCCGAGGAACCUCCUGUGGGCUACUUCCAAGCAUGAUGUGUACGUGAUGCAGAACUAUUCUGUGAGGCACUGGUGGUCCUUACUCCAGAGAGGAAAAGAAUUGCUCAACGUGGCAUGCCCAAAUCAGGAUAUGCAGGGAGGUCGGCCCUUGUGCAGGGUGAAAAUCAGCACCAUGACAGUGAAAGACAACCUCCUGGCGGCUGGUGGUUUCCAUGGGGAGCAGAUCUGCAAUGCAUCCCACCGCCGAUCCAUAUCCAGAUCAGCUGCGUCGCCGGUGCCGGUUCUACACAUAGGCCAGGGGAAAUGACUACCAUUCCAGGGUCUCCGGUCUGGGAGCUCGUGAAGAAGAACAACUACUUCUUGAUCAAGCAGUUCGGCAACAACACCAAGGUGCAGUUCAGCAAGGAGCCCAACAACCUCUACAAUGUCCACUCCUACAAGUUCUCGGGCUUGGCGAACAGCAAGACCGUGGCGGUCCAGCCAUCAGCGGGAGAGGACAAGGCUGUUGUCCUAUCCACGACCAAGACCAAGAAGCAGAACACCCCUGCCAAGCUCCAGCACAAGACUCUGAUGCGCAAGGAGUUCCACAAGAUGACCAAGUCUGUCAAGAACCAAGUAUUAACUCCAGAGUUUUGUACUUGAAUUGCCCUUAUGCUUGGCUUCUAAGCUACAACUAUGCUGGCGUUUCAUGUUUCGUCGCGAGCAUCAAGACGAAGAAGUCGGAAGAAGCAUAGUUCAAGCUCAUCGGAGCUAGUUCAAGGAGUAAUGAAGCCCUUGAUGCUGAUCCCUAUUGGAACAAAUUGAAGCACGAACUGUGACAUAUAGGGCUUGUUAUACAGUAGAGCUUGAUGCUCAUCGGCUCAUGUGACAUAUUGUGCACCUAUUGAGCUUGUUAUACUAUGAUCACAUUUGUAUGUGUUGAUGUAACAGAUUGUUGCUUCUUGUUAUUUGAAGUAUUACACCUGUUUUCUGUCUAUUUUGAUUUAAAUAUUGGUUGUUUAAUUAUUGGCAUAUUGAAAUCUAAGGAACAUGACCACGA